rnacentral:rRNA from 1 species
AACGAACGCUGGCGGCAUGCCUAACACAUGCAAGUCGAACGAGACCUUCGGGUCUAGUGGCGCACGGGUGCGUAACGCGUGGGAACCUGCCCUUAGGUUCGGAAUAACUCCCCGAAAGGGGUGCUAAUACCGGAUAAUGUCUUCGGACCAAAGAUUUCUCGCCUUUGGAUGGGCCCGCGUUGGAUUAGCUAGUUGGUAGGGUAAAAGCCUACCAAGGCGACGAUCCAUAGCUGGUCUGAGAGGAUGAUCAGCCACACUGGGACUGAGACACGGCCCAGACUCCUACGGGAGGCAGCAGUGGGGAAUAUUGGACAAUGGGCGAAAGCCUGAUACAGCAAUGCGGCGUGAGUGAUGAAGGCCUUAGGGUUGUAAAGCUCUUUUACCCGGGAUGAUAAUGACAGUACCGGGAGAAUAAGCACCGGCUAACUCCGUG